CCGCCGCGACCGAGGAGCCCUUCCCUUUCCACGGUCUUCUCCCGAAGAAGGAGACCGAGACCGGGGCUGCCUCCUUCCUGUGCCGCUACCCGGGCGCGGGCUGCUCGUCGCCGACCUGGACACGGGGGUCGAUCCCGGGGCCCCGGGCAUGCAGGACAAGCGUCUCACGGAGCCCAGCUGCCUUUGAACUUACCGUGUUGCCGCCAAGCACGACCCUGGACUGCUCCUCUGCCUCUGAGGGCCAGAAUUGCAGAUGGUACCCACCACACCUGGUUCUGAACUCCGUGCACACGAGGAGCUGAAUAUGGUGAUGCACAACUCCCAGCAUCUGAAGACUGAGGCAGGA